rnacentral:rRNA from 1 species
UACAGGGGGGGCAAGCGUUGUUCGGAAUUACUGGGCGUAAAGGGCUCGUAGGUGGCCAACUAAGUCAGACGUGAAAUCCCUCAGCUUAACUGGGGAACUGCGUCUGAUACUGGAUGGCUUGAGUUUGGGAGAGGGAUGCGGAAUUCUCGGUGUAGCGGUGAAAUGCGUAGAUAUCGAGAGGAACACCUGCGGCGAAGGCGGGUUGCUGGGCUGAUACUGACGCUGAGGCGCGAAAGCCAGGGGAGCGAACGGG